GCUCAACCCCGAGCGGCCAUUGGAAACUGGGGAGCUUGAGUGCAGAAGAGGAGAGUGGAAUUCCACGUGUAGCGGUGAAAUGCGUAGAGAUGUGGAGGAACACCAGUGGCGAAGGCGACUCUCUGGUCUGUAACUGACGCUGAGGCGCGAAAGCGUGGGGAGCAAGCAGGAUUAGAUACCCUGGUAGUCCACGCCGUAAACGAUGAGUGCUAGGUGUUAGGGGUUUCGAUGCCCGUAGUGCCGAAGUUAACACAUUAAGUACUCCGCCUGGGGAGUACGGCCGCAAGGCUGAAACUCAAAGGAAUUGACGGGGACCCGCACAAGCAGUGGAGCAUGUGGUUUAAUUCGAAGCAACGCGAAGAACCUUACCAGGUCUUGACAUCCUUUGACCACCCAAGAGAUUGGGCUUCCCCUUCGGGGGCAAAGUGACAGGUGGUGCAUGGUUGUCGUCAGCUCGUGUCGUGAGAUGUUGGGUUAAGUCCCGCAACGAGCGCAACCCUUGAUCUUAGUUGCCAGCAUUAAGUUGGGCACUCUAAGGUGACUGCCGGUGACAAACCGGAGGAAGGUGGGGAUGACGUCAAAUCAUCAUGCCCCUUAUGACCUGGGCUACACACGUGCUACAAUGGAUGGUACAAAG
rnacentral:rRNA from 1 species